ensembl:lncRNA
AUGAUGUUAGAUCACCGUUUUUUCUGUUGGGGGUUGUGCUGCACCCCCGUCACUUCACCAGGGGGUUCUGUGUUUUCUCGGGAAAACGUGGUCCCCCCCACUUUCACCAUCGCCUCCCACAUCAUCCUCGCUGAGGUUGAAUUAGAGCUGGAAAAAAGGUCUCAGGGAGUCCCAGGGGCUCUGAAGGGCAGGACAGGCCCUGAAAUCUGGCAGCUGGGAGGUGGUUUGCAGCGGCGUGUAACCCCCUCCCCUGCUUCUUCCAGGAGCCCCCACCAGAGCACCCAGCCCCUCUGCCGGACGACGGAGAAGCCGCCAAAGCCAAGGAGCAGCAGCAAAGCGAGGAGCUGCUGGGUGCCGGGAGCUGUGGGGGCAGGUAAGUCCUUGGCUCUGUCUCACUCCCCUUUGGUGUGUUAGGUCUGGUAACUGCACUGAAUACGGAGCUUCCCCCAGCCCCCGCAGUGUGACGCUGGCUUGGAGCCUGUGAAUCUGUCUCCCCUAGCGGCUGCCUCAGCAAGGGGCGGACCCUGUUACUCUCGGACAGCUGAUACGGUCCCACCAGGGCUGUCAGACGUAUGGGCCAGACUGGGCCUGUCUGACGUAUUUAUGUGGUCACAUCACAUGUUCAGAGUGUUCAGAAUCUCAGCUUUCAGUUUAUUUUUUUUAAAGUAAGUUUCUAACCCUCCUGGUUGCAAAGAAACCCUCCCAAAUGGACACAAGGAGCCAGCAUUGCCUUCCUGAGUCUGCAGACAGCCUGAAACCGCAGCUCAGAGGGGUGUGAAUGCCCUUGGCCUCCGUUGAUCUCAUUGAAGUGCCUACGCUUUGGUGACAACAUUCCCUGGCUGAUCGCUUGAGGAGGUGGAAUCAGGAGGGGGCAGGAAUGAAGCCAUAGAGAGGCAGGAAUAGGGGAUUGCUUUGUGGGGGACAGAGGAGAGACACAAGGACAAGGAAGCAAGAGAUAAAUAGAGGGAGGAUGGUGGGAAAGGAAGACAAGGAAAGGGGAGAAAUAGCAGGGGCCAUACAGGGGUGUGUGCGAGGGGAGCUAUUUUCCCGUGGAGUGAUAUUGAUUGUGACAGUAAAGGACUUUAUAAAUAACACUGUUAUUUCCUGCUCAACGGGCAGCGUCUCCUCUGGUUCUUUGCGCCUGGGUGUCCCACCGAGAGCAGUGGGUGUCCUGCUGUGAAGGGAGGUGGGGGACAGAGUCCAAAAUUGAUGCCCUGGGCCACUGUCCAUAACAGAAAGUGGAAGACAGCUUCUCCUCCAAAGGAGCUGGACACCCCAGGGUUACUGCUUCCGCGGAAGGGCUCAGGGCUUUUGGUGUUUAAGGGCCCACGUUCAUUCCCUGCUGAAGACCUGGGCUCUGUCUGAGCAGGUGGGACCUGCCCCCUGGUCUGUGUCUGCGUCUCCUCCCUUUCCACGUAAUCCCAGUGCUGGUGCCCCUUGUUGCUGGAAUAUUCCAGGGUGGGAGGUGGCUCUGCUCCCCACAGAACCAGAGCAUCCUGGAGAAAGCUCCUGAACCUAUGUCUGUUCCUUGCCCCAAUGUUUCCCCGUGUCCCAUCUCUCUGGCCCAUGGUGAGCACAGGGCUGAAGGCAGGUGACUCACCAUAACAGUGACUAUCUCAGGCUACAAAGCUCAGAUCCAGGGUUCCUGGAGUUUGGGGGUUGCUGGGGCUCAGGGUCUGGGGAUCGGGCCUAUUUGUCACCCCUCCUUUCCCCAGCAGGGAGGAUGGGACGUUUCAGAAGCCAGAGCUGGGGUUUUUGGAGCUGGAGAAGAGACUCAGCGAUUUCUUUCUGAAAAGUGCCAUGCUCCAGGAGGUGCUGCUGGGAUUCAAAGGUGAAUUGGAGUCUGGGGGUGGUGUCUCCUCUGGUUAGAGCUACCCUCACCCUGGGGAGGAGUUGGGGACUCUAGUGAUGUCACUGAUCCUCGGCUCCAUCUCACAGCCCAGCUCAGCGAGUCGUCCUUCCCCAUGGAGCAGCCCUGUGGGGCUGGCUCUGUCUGCAGCGGCUGCGUUAUCGGCCUCUCAUCUCUGUCACCAUCUCGUAGUUAACAGCAGUUACAUUAAUAACCAAUGGGGAUUGCUCCACGAAUGCGAGGGCCUGAAUUCUCACCUCUCCUGUCUUCUCCUUCCCCUAGAGACGCUGCGACUGGAGCUGGGGAGCGACACAGGUACGUGUCUGUCUCUGACGGGCCAUGGGGAGAUUUCAGACCAAUAACCAUGUUAGCGACAGGGCAUCACGGCCUCCAGCCCCCAUGUGCACCUGGAAGCUGUGGAAGAAUGUGAAACCGGGUGAUCCCCGUGACUGAUUCGCUAGUGCUGUGACGUCUGAUGGGGAUUCAGAGUGAAUCCCGGAUCUCAGGGGGGUGUUUCCCUUUGGUGAAAGGAACAACACCUGAAUGGUGUGAAAUAGGAUGAAACAAGGACAAAAUCUCCAGCCCCUGAGGAGUCUGAAAGCUUUCAUGAGUGAGUGGAGAUGGUCAGAUGUGGGCAGCAGAGUCUCGGGCGCAAGGAGGGGGGAGCCCGGCUGUGCCGUGGGCUGUGCCGUGGGGCUGAUAUACCGCAGACAGACCAGCUGUGAAUGUUCAUGGUGAAUGCGGAGGGAGCUGUGCAGUGCGUGGGCAAGUUUUUCAUACUUUUCAUAUUGAUUUCCAAAAAGGGGUCCCCCAUUUUUUUUUUUUGGCAAACCCCUGACAUUUAGUAGAAAAUAAGAAUAAAACCCGUAACGAGGCUGAUCCUAUAGAAUGU